GAACACCACGGCACCAAGUGUCACCUGUAAGGUCAGCCUUGCAAACAACAUCACAACAGAGGAGACAGUGACUCUGAAUGUGACCUGUCCUGUGCAGCAUUGUGAACCAUACAGUGCAGUGCUUCCCUGGGCUGUUGCUGGUGUAUCACUAAGUGUGAAUGUCCUCUGCACAAUCUUCAUGGUGUUCCUUUGGAAAGCAAGAAAAAAUGUGAAAACAAAUCAAGAGGACAGAACUUACAUGUCUCUGCAGAAAAAAGACAGAUCAUCAGAGUAUGAUGUUAUCGGGCAAGCUUUGAAGUAAUAACUGUCAGCUUCCACAAUGUCUUUACAAUCUGAUAACAUGACUUUCAGACAGCUUCAAGCAGGAUUUCUUACUCUGGAAUUAAUAAAUUGUGAAGAAAAAAAACAUGUUUAAACUUCUGUACCAUUGUUUACUUUGGAGAAAUGUAUAAAUGCACCAGCAGUUAAUCAUUAACAAAAUGAGUAAAUAUUAACUGUCAGGGUUUUUUAACAGCACAUUCCAAAGCAGUUUGGAUACUGUACUCUAGAUGCAACCUCAUCCAGACCGAUCCCUAAUGUUAUGUGUUUAUAUUUUAUGAUC